UACGUAGGGUGCAAGCGUUGUCCGGAAUUAUUGGGCGUAAAGAGCUCGUAGGCGGUCUGUCACGUCUGCUGUGAAAACUCGGGGCUUAACCCCGGGCCUGCAGUGGGUACGGGCAGACUAGAGUGCGGUAGGGGAGACUGGAAUUCCUGGUGUAGCGGUGAAAUGCGCAGAUAUCAGGAGGAACACCGGUGGCGAAGGCGGAUCUCUGGGCCAUUACUGACGCUGAGGAGCGAAAGCGUGGGGAGCGAACAGG
rnacentral:rRNA from 1 species